rnacentral:rRNA from 1 species
UACGUAGGGUGCAAGCGUUGUCCGGAAUUAUUGGGCGUAAAGAGCUCGUAGGCGGUUUGUCGCGUCUGCUGUGAAAACUCGGGGCUUAACUCCGGGCCUGCAGUGGGUACGGGCAGACUAGAGUGCGGUAGGGGAGACUGGAAUUCCUGGUGUAGCGGUGAAAUGCGCAGAUAUCAGGAGGAACACCAGUGGCGAAGGCGGGUCUCUGGGCCGUAACUGACGCUGAGGAGCGAAAGCGUGGGGAGCGAACAGG